rnacentral:rRNA from 1 species
GGUACGAGAUGGGCCCGCGGCCUAUCAGCUUGUUGGUGGGGUAAUGGCCUACCAAGGCGACGACGGGUAGCCGGCCUGAGAGGGCGACCGGCCACACUGGGACUGAGACACGGCCCAGACUCCUACGGGAGGCAGCAGUGGGGAAUAUUGCACAAUGGGCGCAAGCCUGAUGCAGCGACGCCGCGUGAGGGAUGACGGCCUUCGGGUUGUAAACCUCUUUCACCAGGGACGAAGAGUGAUUGACGGUACCUGGAGAAGAAGCACCGGCCAACUACGUGCCAGCAGCCGCGGUAAUACGUAGGGUGCGAGCGUUGUCCGGAAUUACUGGGCGUAAAGAGCUCGUAGGCGGUUUGUCGCGUCGUUCGUGAAAUCUUGAUGCUUAACAUCAAGCGUGCGGGCGAUACGGGCAGACUUGAGUACUACAGGGGAGACUGGAAUUCCUGGUGUAGCGGUGAAAUGCGCAGAUAUCAGGAGGAACACCGGUGGCGAAGGCGGGUCUCUGGGUAGUAACUGACGCUGAGGAGCGAAAGCGUGGGUAGCGAACAGGAUUAGAUACCCUGGUAGUCCACGCCGUAAACGGUGGGUACUAGGUGUGGGUUCCUUUUCACGGGAUCCGUGCCGUAGCUAACGC